rnacentral:rRNA from 1 species
UGCCAGACUCCUACGGGAGGCAGCAGUAGGGAAUAUUGCACAAUGGGGGAAACCCUGAUGCAGCAACGCCGCGUGAGUGAAGAAGUAUUUCGGUAUGUAAAGCUCUAUCAGCAGGGAAGAAAAUGACGGUACCUGAGUAAGAAGCCCCGGCUAACUACGUGCCAGCAGCCGCGGUAAUACGUAGGGGGCAAGCGUUAUCCGGAUUUACUGGGUGUAAAGGGAGCGUAGACGGCGAUACAAGUCUGAAGUGAAAGCCCGGGGCUCAACCCCGGGACUGCUUUGGAAACUGUGUUGCUGGAGUGCUGGAGAGGCAAGCGGAAUUCCUAGUGUAGCGGUGAAAUGCGUAGAUAUUAGGAAGAACACCAGUGGCGAAGGCGGCUUGCUGGACAGUAACUGACGUUGAGGCUCGAAAGCGUGGGGAGCAAACAGGAUUAGAUACCCCGGUAUGC